AAGCCCAAGUAGACGUGAUGACUGUGUGGUAGGAAGAACAACAUUUGCUCUGGAGCUUUCCUGAGCAAUUCAUCCUCCGAGAAAUUAAUUAUCAGCGCCAGCAUUGCAUAUAAUCAGCAUCAAUCCCUGCGUGCCAGGGGUCGGAGGCCAUCGCUGCCUCUGCCUCCAGCAGCUCUGGGUUCCUGAAGGCAGGGAGAUCUGUUGCUAUUGUUGGAAUAGGAGCUGGAAGCAUGGAGAGCAGAUCAGGCUGGGAGCCAAGCUGUGCAAACACCUCUGGGGCGGCAGCACCUUGCUAGCACUGCCCGGGGAGGGUGCCUGGGAUGUGACAGGGCAGCCCUGGUUUUGAGAGCAGCUCAGACACCCACAAGGGAGUCCCAGGGUGCCCAUUUGGCUGGGAGCAGGGUUAUAUCCUGCGAGAUGGUGGCCUGCAACCCGGUGCCCCAUCCUGCACUGGGGACAGCAAACCCACACGGGCAGCAUGCACGUGGGCACAUGUGUGUGUGCGGCACACCAGGAAGGUGGAUGUUGUAGUGUUUGUUUGAUGUGGGACACACAGGGGCAUCUGUUCCAGCAGAGCUGGCUCUGGCACGUGUCUGACAAAUGUUGUUUGGUUUGGUGGUGGAGCAUUAAUGUAAGUGGUGCCGGCUGCGGGCACAGGGAGAGGAGCGCCUGUCUGAAGGACUCUCUGGGGGAGAAAGAAGGAGGACAAAAGGGUGUUGACAUGGCUCUUGAUGGUGGCCAGAUGGCUUCUUGCAGGACCUUCAUCUCACUGCCUGACCGGGGACACCUGGAUCUCUGCAGCCAUCCCUGUGAGAUGGGUCUUGGGCCACUGGGAGAAGGGGAGAGCAAAACCAAAUGUCACCUGGAGAAGUUCCUGCUGCUGCACUCCCAGGGGCUGGAACUGCUGCCCCAGGAUGGGGAUUAGCACAUCACUGAGAAAGCCACCAUGGUUGAUGGUCCCCAGGGGGAUCAGAUAGAUGAUCAAUGCUGGGAUUAGCCUAUAUGGUGGCUGCAGUGACAGCAGUGACCUGGAGGAGCAGCUUCACCCUGCCUGUGCUUGCACUGAGCCAACACAUCCCCAUGGCCUCCAGACUGGUCCAUGCACUGAGCGGUGUCAGGCCUCUGCCAGCCCCAUGAGAGGCUCGGGGGCACUGACAGCAGACAGCAACUGCCACAGAUGUUCUGCAUUUUGGAUUUCUUCCCCUUCCAACCUCAUUAGUAUUGAAAUU
rnacentral:lncRNA from 1 species